rnacentral:lncRNA from 1 species
CGACCCAUCUCGUCGUUUCGACCCAUCUCGUCGUUUCGACCCAUCUCGUCGUUUCGACCUAUAUCUUCCCGAAUGAAGCGCAACAGCGAAUAUUCUUAAAUUCUUUUUUCUUCAUCUGAAAAAACAUAACUGCUUCUUCUCAGUUUUCACCAACGCGUUUUCUCUAACGCGUUUUCUCUAAUCGAUCCCUUUGUUUUCAUCGAAAUCAAUUCUUCUUCGUUCAACUCACUCGGUUCGGUUAUGGAUUCGGGCAAUUUCCGUUCCAUAUUAGAGAAUUCUGGCGUGGACGUAUGGUCGUUCAUCGACACCGCAAUCGCCGUUGCUGCGACGGAUUCCGGCGAGGAACUGAUGCGCCGCAGAGACGCAAUCGUCGAGAGGCUAUAUUCAGCCACCACAGCUCCUUUGAGUUGCCGGAAUUGCGAUGACGGCGGCAACCGUAGCGUCGUCACCACCAACGGCAAUCAAGUUAUGAAACAUAAAAGCCCUAGCCGUAGCCCUAAACGACAACCACAACAACGCCGUUUUGUUUCCUCCCCCGAAACGCCACAGUCUCACGAAAACGACGUAGAUCCGUAUGGUGGUUUAUUCGACGAUGAACAAAAGAAAAUUCUGGAAAUUAAGGAGCUACUCGAAGAACCUGACCAGUCUGAAGAUUCAUUGGUUGAUUUGCUUCAAAAUCUCGCUGAUAUGGAUAUUACAUUCCAAGCUCUGAAGGAAACUGAUAUUGGGAGGCACGUGAAUCUGUUGAGGAAGCAUUCCUCUAAUGAUGUCCGUAAAUUGGUGAAGCUACUUGUCAAGUUGCGUAAUUGAAAUCAUUUGCUUUUGUUGUUGCAGAAAUUAAUGUUAUAUUUUUAUAAAUUUGAUUACCUUUAUUUACUUAUCAUUUGCAGGAAGUGGAAGGAAAUUGUGGAUGAGUGGGUUAAGUCGAAUCCGCGUGGAGAAACUUCUACUCUUAUGGCUGAUGGAGACUCACCCCCUCUUCAGAAAACCACCCAAAAUGGGCAUCAUCCGGUGACGAAUUUAUAUUUUUCUUAGUCUGUUCGAUUGAGUUAGUUUUUGAAGAGAAACGGAAAAAAAACUUGUGAGCCAUGAAAUACAUGACUAUGAGGCCUUCUUGUUCCCUUUUAAAAUUUAACCUGAUAGACGGACUCCGAGUGAAGUUUAGCCUUUGGCUGGGUUGAUGCUAAUAGUAUUCCAUUCGUUUUGCAGAUACCUGAUUUUGCAUACUCACCGAAUCCACACAAUGGGAGUUCUGGGUCUGACCGCAAUGAAGGAGAAUUAAAAUCAAAAGCCAUUCCUCCUCGCAGAGAAGCACCAGCUCAAUCACCUUCACUUCACACCCCUGAGACAGAGAGAACAGAGAGAGAGCAACUUUGAUGCAGAGAGACUUUCUUCUGCAACAAAAAGGCUUCAAGCCAAUUAUAAAGAAGCUGAAAAUGCCAAAAAGCAAAGGACUAUUCAGGUGAUGGAUAUUCAUGAAUUACCAAAGUCAAAAUCCAAGAAUACCUUCUUUGGAAAGAACAAAGGCAGUGCCAGUUCUCAAGGGAGGCACUGGUGAAUGGUGAUACAAACACAUGUUUCCAUAGUUCGUAUCAUGUUAACUGUACAAAUUGUCUUGUGGAUUUUGUGCUUGAUACACCUAUUUUUUCUCGUGUUCUUUAAUUGUGACUGAGUUUAAUAAUUACAAGAGUAGGAAUAUAGGUUUAUAAAAAGGGAUUCAUUCAGUGGUUUAUAAAAAGGGAUACGGAUAAGGUAGGAAUAUAGGUUUAUAAAAAGGGAUUCAUUCAGUGGU